CUCUCUCGCCCCCGGUCACUCUCCCCUGGUCUCUCUCACCCCCGAUCACUCUCCCCUGGUCUCUCUCUCCCAGGCUCUGGGCUGUGCAGGGGAGAUUCCGGAUGUGAGUCUAUGUCAGUACCUGGACCAGCUGAUCGGACAGUUCUGCUUCUACAAUGGCCCAGUGAGGCAGAGCUACCAGGAGCGCCCCCGCGAGGAGCUGGCAGUGCAGUGGGCGCAGUACCUUGCUCAACUACAGGGCGGCAGCACUGAGCUCCAGCAGGUCUUCACCUCGCUGCACACCAUCGACUGCACCCAGAUUGACCCCCUGCUGCUCCUGAAGGCAGCUCUGAUUCUGCAGGCGUGUCAGCGCUGCCCCUUGGUGUUGGCUGGCUGCAUUCUCUACAGAGGCAGGUGGGUUGGCCUGCGGGUGAGACAGAGUGAGCACACACUGGGACACACACACAUCAUAAACUGGAAUGCUGCAGAACCCAGAACAGACAAUACACACUAACUGAAUAUCUGACCGGGGUGAGAAACAGCCUGA